rnacentral:rRNA from 1 species
ACGCUCGACACCUACGGAAGGCAGCAGUGGGGAAUAUUGCACAAUGGGGGAAACCCUGAUGCAGCGACGCCGCGUGAGUGAAGAAGUAUUUCGGUAUGUAAAGCUCUAUCAGCAGGGAAGAAAAUGACGGUACCUGAGUAAGAAGCCCCGGCUAACUACGUGCCAUCAGCCGCGGUAAUCUGAGCGGGCUGGCAAGGC